AGAAAAAGCAACUGAAGGAAGGCUGAGGUAUCAAAAAGCUCAUCUUCAGGACUUCAUGCAGCUAAAGAGGAGCCGUAAUCAAUUAAAGACCGACUUGUGAAGGAGCUAUUGUGUGCAGUUCCAUUCAGACAUUGCUGAGCUGUCUUUUAGACUGCCUGUGGGGAAACACUGCUUGCUUCCUGAGGUAUUUCUUGUGAUAAGACGCUUAACUGAUUUAUGGAGGUGGCAAAUGAUGGGUGCUACUAUGUGACAAUCAACAUCACUUUGACAUUUGAAAGCACCUGUAAGAGACUAUUCUUUUGUAUCAUUGACUCAAAGUUUGCUGGUAACGGGACUGCUGCUGGAUCCUGGUGGUGACUAUUAUUUGUAAUAAACUGGUCGGACCAACAUUUGAACCAUUGUUUCUUAAUCUCACGCCGGGCAUACAU
ensembl:lncRNA